AGGGAUGUAGCUCAGUGGUAGAGCACUUGCCUAGCAUGUGAGAGGCAUUGGGUUUGAUCCCCAAUACUA
rnacentral:tRNA from 1 species